UACAGAGGGGGCGAGCGUUAUUCGGAAUUACUGGGCGUAAAGAGCGCGCAGGCGGUCGUUCAAGUCGCGUGUGAAAGCCCCCGGCUCAACUGGGGAGGGUCACGCGAUACUGAUCGACUCGAAGGCAGGAGAGGGUAGUGGAAUUCCCGGUGUAGUGGUGAAAUGCGUAGAUAUCGGGAGGAACACCAGUGGCGAAGGCGACUACCUGGCCUGUUCUUGACGCUGAGGCGCGAAAGCUAGGGGAGCAAACGGG
rnacentral:rRNA from 1 species